rnacentral:rRNA from 1 species
GACGAACGCUGGCGGCGUGCUUAACACAUGCAAGUCGAACGGUAAGGCCCUUCGGGGUACACGAGUGGCGAACGGGUGAGUAACACGUGGGUGAUCUGCCCUGCACUUCGGGAUAAGCCUGGGAAACUGGGUCUAAUACCGGAUAGGACUCCUGGCUUCAUGGUUGGGGGUGGAAAGCUUUUGCGGUGUGGGAUGGGCCCGCGGCCUAUCAGCUUGUUGGUGGGGUAAUGGCCUACCAAGGCGACGACGGGUAGCCGGCCUGGGAGGGUGACCGGUCACACGGGGAGUGAGAUACGGCCCAGACUCCUACGGGAGGCAGCAGUGGGGAAUAUUGCACAAUGGGGGCAAGCCUGAUGCAGCGACGCCGCGUGAGGGAUGACGGCCUUCGGGUUGUAAACCUCUUUCAGCUAUGACGAAGCGCAAGUGACGGUAGUAGCAGAAGAAGGACCGGCCAACUACGUGCCAGCAGCCGCCGUAA